UAAGGAAUAUUGGUCAAUGGGCGCAAGCCUGAACCAGCCAUGCCGCGUGCAGGAUGACGGCCCUAUGGGUUGUAAACUGCUUUUGUACGGGAAAAAACCCUUUUACGUGUAAGAGGUUGAUGGUACCGUAAGAAUAAGGAUCGGCUAACUCCGUGCCAGCAGCCGCGGUAAUACGGAGGAUCCAAGCGUUAUCCGGAUUUAUUGGGUUUAAAGGGUGCGUAGGCGGCUUAUUAAGUCAGUGGUGAAAGCCUGGAGCUUAACUCCAGAACUGCCAUUGAUACUGAUGAGCUUGAGUACAGUUGAGGUGGGCGGAAUGUGUCAUGUAGCGGUGAAAUGCUUAGAUAUGACACAGAACUCCAAUUGCGAAGGCAGCUCGCUAAACUGUAACUGACGCUGAGGCACGAAAGCGUGGGUAGCAAACAG
rnacentral:rRNA from 1 species